GGAAGAAGAUGUCGGAUUAUACCAAGCGUGGACUUCUCUCCCGAUAUUUCAAUUUUAUGCCUUUAUUCCGGUAUAAUUUAUAAAGCAGUUGACAACACAUCCUGAACUACAGGCCAACACUCGACACUAACGACUGGUGCAGAGGAGGAUGAGGAUACGACACGACUGACUGGAUAUUCGAAGAUGUUGACAACAUCAAUUGAACCAGCUGUGAUACCUUUGAACCAGCUGUGAUACCUUUGAACACUUACGUCAUAGUCAUUUGGACCCUUGGACCCUUACGUCAUAGUCACUUGGAAAGAUUUGGCGCCUGCAUAUAACCCAACUGGCACAGCCUCUCAACCAAUCGUCCAUCACCAAGAAUCAACCUCAACGGGUCGUCCUCAAGACUCAACCUCAACGGGUCGUCCUCAAGACUCGUCCAUCACUUGUCGUCGCCAAGACUCGUCCAUCACUUGUCGUCCAUCACUUGUCGUUCAUCACUUGUCGUCCAUCACUUGUCGUCCAUCAUCCGUCAGACUCUAUCAGUACUCAGACUCUAUCAAUUCUCUAUCAAUCAUUUCGACAACGCAAGGCACAUGGAAAUAAUAGCUCAAUAGCUUCCCAAACUGACAACACACAAAUGCUCUUGAUCUUUCCUUGUUA